rnacentral:ribozyme from 1 species
GAAAUGAAGCUGGAAAAGAAAGAAAGAAAGAAAGAAAGGGAGAGAAAAGAGACCACUUUACUGUUUCCACCAUUCUUCUUCUUCUCUUUAAUUAUUGUUUAAUAUAUAUGUACACUAAGUU